rnacentral:rRNA from 1 species
GAUGAACGCUGGCGGCGUGCCUAAUACAUGCAAGUCGAGCGAAUGGAUUAAGAGCUUGCUCUUAUGAAGUUAGCGGCGGACGGGUGAGUAACACGUGGGUAACCUGCCCAUAAGACUGGGAUAACUCAGGGAAACCGGGGCUAAUACCGGAUAACAUUUUGAACCGCAUGGAUCGAAAUUGAAAGGAGGCAUAGGCUGUCCCUCAUGGAUGUACCCGCGUCGCAUUAGGUAGUUGGUGAGGUAACGGCUCACCAAGGCAACGGUGCGUAGUCGCCCUGUGAGGGUGAUCGGCCACACUGGGACUGAGACACGGCCCAGACUCCUACGGGAGGCAGCAGUAGGGAAUCUUCCGCAAUGGACGAAAGUCUGACGGGGCAACGCCGCGUGAGUGAUGAAGGCUUUCGGGUCGUAAAACUCUGUUGUUAGUGAAGAACAAUUGCUAGUUGAAUAAGCUGGCACCUUGACGGUACCUAACCAGAAAGCCACUGCUAACUACGUGCCAGCCGCCGCCGUAA